GGCCUCGUAUCUCAGUUGGCUAGAGCGUUGGCUGAACUUAAGUGUUGCCCUUGCUGACGUGGGUUCGAAUCCCACCAGGGCCG
rnacentral:tRNA from 1 species